GAUGAACGCUGGCGGCGUGCCUAAUACAUGCAAGUCGAGCGAACAGACGAGGAGCUUGCUCCCCUGACGUUAGCGGCGGACGGGUGAGUAACACGUGGAUAACCUACCUAUAAGACUGGGAUAACAUCGGGAAACCGGAGCUAAUACCGGAUAAUAUAUCGAACCGCAUGGUUCAAUAGUGAAAGACGCUUUUGCUGUCACUUAUAGACGGAUCCGCGCCGCAUUAGCUAGUUGGUAAGGUAACAGCUAACCAAGGCAACGAUGCGUAGCCGACCUGAGAGGAUGAUCGGCCACACUGGAACUGAGACACGGUCCAGACUCCUACGGGAGGCAGCAGUAGGGAAUAUUCCACAAUGGGCGAAAGCCUGACGGAGCAACGCCGCGUGAGUGAUGAAGGUCUUCGGAUCGUAAAACUCUGUUAUUAGGGAAGAACAAAUGUGUAAGUAACUAUGCACGUCUUGACGGUACCUAAUCAAAAAGCCACGGCUAACUACGUG
rnacentral:rRNA from 1 species